rnacentral:rRNA from 1 species
GACGAACGCUGGCGGCGUGCUUAACACAUGCAGGUCGAACGGAAAGGCCCUGCUUGCCGGGUACUCGAGUGGCGAACGGGUGAGUAACACGUGGGUGAUCUGCCCUGCACUUCGGGAUAAGCCUGGGAAACUGGGUCUAAUACCGGAUAGGAGCCAUUUUUAGUGUGAUGGUUGGAAAGUUUUUUCGGUGUAGGAUGAGCUCGCGGCCUAUCAGCUUGUUGGUGGGGUAAUGGCCUACCAAGGCGGCGACGGGUAGCCGGCCUGAGAGGGUGGACGGCCACAUUGGGACUGAGAUACGGCCCAGACUCCUACGGGAGGCAUCAGUGGGGAAUAUUGCACAAUGGGCGCAAGCCUGAUGCAGCGACGCCGCGUGGGGGAUGACGGCCUUCGGGUUGUAAACUCCUUUCGCUAGGGACGAAGCUUUUUGUGACGGUACCUAGAUAAGAAGCACCGGCUAACUACGUG